rnacentral:rRNA from 1 species
UACGGAGGGUGCGAGCGUUGUCCGGAAUCAUUGGGCGUAAAGGGCGCGUAGGUGGCCCGGUCAGUUCGUGGUGAAAGCGCGGGGCUCAACCCUGCGUCGGCCAUGAAUACUGCCGUGGCUGGAGCACUGUAGAGGCAGGCGGAAUUCCGGGUGUAGCGGUGGAAUGCGUAGAGAUCCGGAAGAACACCGGUGGCGAAGGCGGCCUGCUGGGCAGUUGCUGACACUGAGGCGCGACAGCGUGGGGAGCAAACAGG